ACAUAUACAGGAAUGUUGUAGAAGAUACAGCAGCCGCUUGCGGUCUGUAUACAGGUGCUGCAUGGCUGUCGUCAGCUCGUGCUGUGAAGUGUUGGGUUAAGUCCCGCAACGAGCGCAACCCUAUCAUCUGUUGCCAGCAUUUAAGGUGGGGACUCAGAUGAGACUGCCGGUGACAAACCGGAGGAAGUGGGGACGACGUCAAGUCAUCAUGGCCCUUAUGUCCUGGGCUACACACGUGCUACAAUGGCCGGUACAGAGUGAAGCGAAACCGCGAGGUGAAGCAAAACGCAGAAAGCCGGUCUCAGUACGGAUUGGAGUCUGAAACUCGACUUCAUGAAGUUGGAAUCGCUAGUAAUCGCGCAUCAGCAUGGCGCGGUGAAUACGUUCCCGGGCCUU
rnacentral:rRNA from 1 species